rnacentral:rRNA from 2 species
CCGUAAUCUGUAAAGCAGACCCGAGAACAUGUUUAAAUGAAUUCGUGGACGUGAUGUCGGACGCCCUUGCGUCCAACAUCAUGGCCUCCGACCACCAAACGGCUCUAGUCGCUUGGGGGUACUAACCUCUCGGCGCGGCAAGCGCCAAGGAAAACGAAACAGAUCGCCUCCGCAUGCGGGGUGGUACCCAACAUGUGGAGGAGAGCAUCUACUCAAAAUAAGUCACACAACGACUCUCGGCAACGGAUAUCUCGGCUCUCGCAUCGAUGAAGAACGUAGCGAAAUGCGAUACUUGGUGUGAAUUGCAGAAUCCCGUGAACCAUCGAGUCUUUGAACGCAAGUUGCGCCCAAAGCCAUCAGGCUGAGGGCACGUCUGCCUGGGCGUCACGCAACUCGUCGCCCCCCCCAACAUCAUCCUUCCCACGUAUUGUCGGGGGUGAUGCAUGAAGCGUGGGGGUGGAGAUUGGCCUCCCGUUACCCGAGUGUGGCGGCCGGCCCAAAUAGUAAGCCGUGUCGAUGGAUGUCGCACGAUACGUGGUGGUUGGAUUGCUCAACUCGAGAACUGUCGUGCGGACCAUCGACCCACGGGCACGACCCAACGGCAUCAACUAAAAAAUGCCUACGACUGUA